UUACUUUUAGUUCCGCCCAGCUUUUCUAUUUUCCUUGAACCUUUUCCUUCAUACCUUUGUAAUCCUUAGAGCGACACCGUGGUGCUUCAGAGUCUAUAUUUAAGAUAUAAAAGAUAAAAAACUAGAUAAAUUUAAAA
rnacentral:ribozyme from 1 species